rnacentral:rRNA from 1 species
AUUGAACGCUAGCGGGAUGCUUUACACAUGCAAGUCGAACGAGUGGCGGACGGGUGAGUAAUAUAUAGGAACGUGCCCAGUAGCGGGGGAUAACUACUCGAAAGAGUGGCUAAUACCGCAUACUAUUGGAGCGGCCGAAAUUGGAGUAGCUAGUUGGUGGGGUAAAGGCUCACCAAGGCAACGAUCCGUAGCUGGUCUGAGAGGACGACCAGCCACACUGGGACUGAGACACGGCCCAGACUCCUACGGGAGGCAGCAGUGGGGAAUUUUGGACAAUGGGGGAAACCCUGACACAGCCAUCCCGCGUGUAUGAGAAGGCCUUCGGGUUGUAAAACACUUUUGUCAGAGAAGCGGUACCUGCAGAGUAAGCACCGGCUAACUACGUGCCAGCAGCCGCGGUAAUAC